GGACUUUCUGUAUACAAUAUAAUUUGUGUCUUCACGUCGGCGAAAGAACGUACGUUUUGUAUACAGUAUAGUUUGAGUCCUCUUGUCGACUUCCGUAUCUUGUUUACGAACCUCAAGGAUCCUUUUUCUUUUCACGUAUACAAAAAUACUUUAAGUCCUCUUCUCGAUGAAGGCACGUUCUCUCUGUAAAUAAGUAUAGUUUAUGUCCUCUUAUCAACAUCCUUUUAUCUCGAGUGCUUUUAAUACAUUCCGUAGUUACGCGGAUAACCAAAUUACAAACACAUACUAAAGGGAGAUAUAAAUAACGAGAUUGCAUUGUGAGAUACUUGUGAAAGACAUCUAACGGGAUAAUACAUUCAAAGAAGUCAUGAAAACCGUGCAUAUUAUAUGUCUAGCGCUGAUAUCACUUCUGCUUUUGAGUAACCUUGCACUUGCGAGGUCAAAUGGACCAUUAUGUCGACCUAUCACCUCACGUAACGGACAUGUUGUUGGUUGUCGAGAUACAGGAAGAAUAAUAAAUGGACGUGGAAGGUGUGGAAGAAGCGGAAGAAGAAAAUCUUGCGGAAUGAUCAGAAGGUCGUGCAGAUGUAAAGGUGUAAUAUUUUUGCAUCCUGGAAGAAACGAAUGA